rnacentral:rRNA from 1 species
UACGUAGGAUCCGAGCGUUGUCCGGAAUCACUGGGUGUAAAGGGUGCGCAGGCGGAUUUGAACGUCAGAGGUUAAAUGUCACCGCUUAACGGUGAACCUGCCUUUGAAACGGCAAGUCUUGAGUAUGAGAGAGGUAAGUAGAAUUCCUGGUGUAGCGGUGAAAUGCGUAGAUAUCAGGAGGAAUACCAGUGGCGAAGGCGGCUUACUGGCUCAUAACUGACGCUCAGGCACGAAAGCGCGGGUAGCAAACAGG